rnacentral:rRNA from 1 species
ACGCUGRRAGGUUAUCAACUCCSGCGAGMUCCCUCCCACAAGGGGWUAGGMCACCGGCUUCGGGUGUUACCAACUUUCGUGACUUGACGGGCGGUGUGUACAAGGCCCGGGAACGUAUUCACCGCAGCGUUGCUGAUCUGCGAUUACUAGCGACUCCAACUUCAUGAGGUCGAGUUGCAGACCUCAAUCCGAACUGAGACCGGCUUUUUGGGAUUAGCUCCACCUCACAGUAUCGCAACCCUUUGUACCGGCCAUUGUAGCAUGCGUGAAGCCCAAGACAUAAGGGGCAUGAUGAUUUGACGUCGUCCCCACCUUCCUCCGAGUUGACCCCGGCAGUCUCCUAUGAGUCCCCGGCAUAACCCGCUGGCAACAUAGAACGAGGGUUGCGCUCGUUGCGGGACUUAACCCAACAUCUCACGACACGAGCUGACGACAACCAUGCACCACCUGUAAACCGGCCACAAGUGGGGGACCUGUUUCCAGGUCUUACCGGUUCAUGUCAAGCCUUGGUAAGGUUCUUCGCGUUGCAUCGAAUUAAUCCGCAUGCUCCGCCGCUUGUGCGGGCCCCCGUCAAUUCCUUUGAGUUUUAGCCUUGCGGCCGUACUCCCCAGGCGGGGCACUUAAUGCGUUAGCUACGGCGCGGAAAACGUGGAAUGUCCCCCACACCUAGUGCCCAACGUUUACGGCAUGGACUACCAGGGUAUCUAAUCCUGUUCGCUCCCCAUGCUUUCGCUCCUCAGCGUCAGUUACAGCCCAGAGACCUGCCUUCGCCAUCGGUGUUCCUCCUGAUAUCUGCGCAUUUCACCGCUACACCAGGAAUUCCAGUCUCCCCUACUGCACUCUAGUCUGCCCGUACCCACUGCAGACCCGGGGUUGAGCCCSGGGCUUUCACAGCAGACGCGACAAACCGCCUACGAGCUCUUUACGCCCAAUAAUUCCGGAUAACGCUUGCGCCCUASGUAUUACCGCGGCUGCUGGGCACGUAGUUAGCCGGCGCUUCUUCUGCAGGUACCGUSACUUUCGCUUCUCCCUGCUGAAAG